rnacentral:rRNA from 1 species
GCGAGUGAAGCGGCAAAAGCUCAAAUUUGAAAUCUCCGCAAGGCGAGUUGUAAUUUGAAGAGAAUACUUUGGGGAAGAGCCUUGUCUAUGUUCCUUGGAACAGGACGUCACAGAGGGUGAGAAUCCCGUGCGAUGAGGAGUUCUCCCUAUGUAAAGUUUUCUCGACGAGUCGAGUUGUUUGGGAAUGCAGCUCUAAGUGGGUGGUAAAUUCCAUCUAAAGCUAAAUAUUGGCGAGAGACCGAUAGCGAACAAGUACAGUGAUGGAAAGAUGAAAAGCACUUUGAAAAGAGAGUGAAAAAGUACGUGAAAUUGUUGAAAGGGAAGGGCUUGAGAUCAGACUUGGUGACUCGUCACUGGGCCAGCAUCGGUUCGGGCGGCAGGAUAAUGCCGCGGGAAAGUGGCUCCUUCUGGAGUGUUAUAGCCCGCGGAGAUACUGCCUGCGUGGACCGAGGACUGCGGUAACUAGGAUGCUGGCAUAAUGAUCUUAAGCCGCCC